CAAAGAUUAAGCCAUGCAUGUCUAAGUAUAAGCAAAUCUAUACUGUGAAACUGCGAACGGCGCRGBAAAUCAGUUAUAGUUUAUUUGAUGGUACUUUACUACAUGGAUAACUGUGGUAAUUCUAGAGCUAAUACAUGCCGAAAAGGCCCUCACGGGGUUGUAUUUAUUAGAUUAAAGACCGUUGGGUGUCAAAACCCAUUGGGUGAAUCAUAAUAACUGCUCGCAGCGUAUGGCCUUGCGCCGACGCGACUUCAUUCAAAUACCUGCCCUAUCAGCUUUUGAUGGUAGUGUAGUGGACUACCAUGGCGGUCACGGGUAACGGGGAAUUAGGGUUCGAUUCCGGAGAGAGGCCUGAGAAACGGCCCUCAUAACUAAGGUUAGCAGCAGGCGCGCAAAUUUAUCCACUCCUCGAUUCGAGGAGAUAGUUGACAAUAAAUAACAAUAGAGGGCUCUUUUGGGUCUUCUAAUUGGAAUGAGAACAAUCUAAAUCCCUUAACGAGGAUCAAUUGGAGGGCAAGUCUGGUGCCAGCAGCCGCGGUAAUUCCAGCUCCAAUAGCGUAUAUCAAAAUUGUUGACGUUAAAAAGCUCGUAGUCGACUUUCGGCCUCAGCCAACCGGUCCGCUCACUGAGUGUGUACUGGAUUUGGUUGGGGCUUUACCUCCUGGUGAGACGGCCUGGCCUUUACUGGUUGGGUCGGGGAACCCGGAACUUUACUUUGAAUAAAUCAGAGUGUUCAAAGCAGGCAUGUUUUGCCCGAAUGUUACAGCAUGGAAUAAUAGAAUAGGAUGUGUGUCCCUAUUGGUCUUUUAGGGGCACCUUAAUGAGAAAUAGGGGCGGCUCGGGGGCAUUUGUAUUCAAUUGCUAGAGGUGAAAUUCUUGGAUUUAUUGAAGACAAACUACUGCGAAAGCAUUUGCCAAGGACGCUUUCAUUGAUCAAGAACGAAGGUCGGGGGAUCGAAAACGAUUAGAUACCGUUGUAGUCUCGACAGUAAACUAUGCCAACCGGCGAUGGGUGGGGCUUUUUUAAUGACCCCAUCUGCAGCCAAAGAGAAAUCUAGAGUGCGGUUCGUGGGGGAGUACGGUCACAAGGCUGAAACUUAAAGGAAUUGACGGAAGGGCACCACCAGGAGUGGAGCCCUGCGGCUUAAUUUGACUCAACACGGGGAAACUCACCAGGUCCAGACACAAUUAGGAUUGACAGAUUGAUAGCUCUUUCUUGAUCUUGUGGUUGGUGGUGCAUGGCCGUUCUUAGUUGGUGGAGUGAUUUGUCUGGUUAAUUCCGAUAACGAACGAGACCUUAACCUGCUAAAUAGCCCGGCCGACUUUGGUUGGCCGCUGGCUUCUUAGAGGGACUAUCGACGUUUAGUCGAUGGAAGUUUGAGGCAAUAACAGGUCUGUGAUGCCCUUAGAUGUUCUGGGCCGCACGCGCGCUACACUGACAGAGCCAGCGAGUCAUUUUUUCCUUGGCCGGAAGGCCUGGGUAAUCUUGUGAAACUCUGUCGUGAUGGGGAUAGAGCAUUGCAAUUAUUGCUCUUCAACGAGGAAUUCCUAGUAAGCGCAAGUCCAUCAGCUUGCGUUGAUUACGUCCCUGCCCUUUGUACACACCGCCCGUCGCUACUACCGAUUGAAUGGCUUAGUGAGGCCUCCGGAUUGGCGCUUGGGAGCUGGCAACGGCACCCGAAUGCUGAGAAGUUGUACAAACUUGGUCAUUUAGAGGAAGUAAAAGUCGUAACAAGGUU
rnacentral:rRNA from 1 species